CGUGUAGGCGGCUACGCAGGUCUGUUGUGAAAACUGAAGGCUUAACCUUCAGAGGUCGACGGAAACCGCGUGGCUAGAGUCCGGAAGAGGAGAGUGGAAUUCCUGGUGUAGCGGUGAAAUGCGCAGAUAUCAGGAAGAACACCAAUGGCGAAGGCAGCUCUCUGGGACGGUACUGACGCUGAGACGCGAAAGCGUGGGGAGCGAACA
rnacentral:rRNA from 1 species